UGGGGAAUUUUGGACAAUGGGCGCAAGCCUGAUCCAGCCAUUCCGCGUGCAGGACGAAGGCCUUCGGGUUGUAAACUGCUUUUGUACGGAACGAAAAGCCCUUCUCUAAUACAGAGGGGUCAUGACGGUACCGUAAGAAUAAGCACCGGCUAACUACGUGCCAGCAGCCGCGGUAAUACGUAGGGUGCAAGCGUUAAUCGGAAUUACUGGGCGUAAAGCGUGCGCAGGCGGUGAUGUAAGACAGAUGUGAAAUCCCCGGGCUCAACCUGGGAACUGCAUUUGUGACAGCAUCGCUGGAGUGCGGCAGAGGGGGAUGGAAUUCCGCGUGUAGCAGUGAAAUGCGUAGAUAUGCGGAGGAACACCGAUGGCGAAGGCAAUCCCCUGGGCCUGCACUGACGCUCAUGCACGAAAGCGUGGGGAGCAAACA
rnacentral:rRNA from 1 species